rnacentral:rRNA from 1 species
CAUGCAAGUCGAACGGAAAGGCCCUUUCGGGGGUACACGAGUGGCGAACGGGUGAGUAACACGUGGGUGAUCUGCCCUGCACUUUGGGAUAAGCCUGGGAAGCUGGGUCUAAUACCGAAUACAUCCUGCUGGUCGCAUGGCCUGGUGGGGGAAAGCUUUUGCGGUGUGGGAUGGGCCCGCGGCCUAUCAGCUUGUUGGUGGGGUGAUGGCCUACCAAGGCGACGACGGGUAGCCGGCCUGAGAGGGUGUCCGGCCACACUGGGACUGAGAUACGGCCCAGACUCCUACGGGAGGCAGUAGUGGGGAAUAUUGCACAAUGGGCGCAAGCCUGAUGCAGCGACGCCGCGUGAGGGAUGACGGCCUUCGGGUUGUAAACCUCUUUCAAUAGGGACGAAGGGUGACUGACGGUACCUAUAGAAGAAGCACCGGCCAACUACGUGCCAGCAGCCGCGGUAAUACGUAGGGUGCGAGCGUUGUCCGGAAUUACUGGGCGUAAAGAGCUCGUAGGUGGUUUGUCGCGUUGUUCGUGAAAACUCACA